GGAUGGCAUUGUGAAAGGUAGUUACCUGGCAUAUAGUCUGCUCUAGCAGGAGAUAAACUAAAUUGCAGAAGAUCAUCUUCUUUGUACACACACAGAUCACAGAGAUUGGAAGAAGUGCUGCCCUGCCUACAAAAGAAUAACAAUGUCCAGGCACCAGCCACUUUUAAAUGUUCUGAAUCCCACCUGUGGGAUCUGAAUGGAUCUGAAUCCCAAUUGUGUAGUAGUAAGAUAUAAGCAGGUGAAGGAGAAGAGCAACUUCUGAUCAACCACUGCAAGAGACAGCAGACUCCAACAUCCAGAGAUCCUACAGCUUCCCAUUCUGAAUCCUCCCUUAUCACCCCUGCAAAAGAAACAAUUAAGAUCUUCCAUACAAUGCUGGUAAUAGAGAGAUUCUACACCUCUGCAUGACUAGAUCACUUGUCAGCAGAAAAUGCUUCUGGGGGAAAAUUAUAUGUCAUUUGGAAAACAUUUUCUAGCAGUGGAAGUCUUGAGAAAAAAAAAAUUCUAGUUUCUUCAACACCAUCAAAGAAAGAUCUAUAUGCAGGAUUCGUUCUUGAAAGGACAGCGAGGCCCUUUCUACAGUAGGACAACGUGCUCUGUACUGAUGUAAUUGCAUUUAUGCCAACUUCUUCAGAGUAGGCAGUGCUUUAGCUGACCUUGAAAAACACUGAAUCUGUCCAACAGGACAAUAUUCCAGGACUACAGAUAGAGGUGAAGAAUUUGCUGCACCAUGCCUGGGUGAUAGCUUCCUCCAGAGCGAGGGCAGUGAGAAAAGAAUUGAGGAAUUGAUGGUGAUUUCUCCAAGUUCCCCAUCAAUGUCAGAUUCAAACCAUUUGAUGUCAUUAGAAGUGAAGCAGUCUGUUGUCAUUUUUCUCCUCUUUAUAUUGCCCCUGCAAGCAGACAAAAUAAAGGAAGGGAAAUUAAA